rnacentral:ncRNA from 2 species
AAUAGAGUAACGGGGAGCUUGCAAAAGCAGGCUGAGAGGAGGCUGAUAUUGUCUCGACCCAUGAACCUGAUUUGGAUAAUGCCAACGUAGGGAUAUGUGAUUUAGAGAUC